UUAGAUUAGAAUAUUAUUAGAUCUAUUAAGAAUUUAAUAAUAUGAUAUUUCUUUAUAUAAUUUAGUUUUAUAAAAUUCAAUUUAACUUUCUUCUACGAUUUUUAAUUCUUAAUUUUUAUUUUAUUUUAUUUAAAAAAUAUUUGUAACGCAUAGUUAACUUGAUAUUAGAUUAAUCGAGGCCAUAGAAACAGGCUACUGCCUCAACCUUCACCACAGAGGGAAGGGGACAAGGAUAUAUACACGUCAACUGCAGGCAUAUUUUUUUACCUUUAAAUGUAAAAAUGUAUAGAUAUCCCUUCAACUAUAAGCAAUUAUGAAAUAGCAUCCUCAACUUUUUAUUAUUUUAUUCUUUUAGUAAAAAUGCAUGGGGAGAUCUUACCCCAUUUCUAAAUAGGCCUCUCUAAUGUUUUUAUUUUUUUGCUGAGAUUCUCAACUUUUAUUAUUUUUUAAAUUUAAAUUUUAUAUUUACUUAUAUUAAAAAUUUAUCAAAUUUAAUAACUUUAUAUAAUUAUUAAUUAUUAAUUAGUCAAGGGCUUCUAAUAUAAAAAUACUAUUUAUUUAGUUGUGAAAAAAAUAUUAUUUAUUUAAUUAUUAUAUAAAUUUAAUAUUAUUUAAUAUAUAUACAUAAAUUUUUAAUUUAAUGUUAAAAUAAUUUAAUAUAUUUUUUAUUUAACAUGCAAAUUAAUACGUGCAGCGCACGUGCAUUAACUAGUAUAUAUAGAUGCAGAUUGUGAGGACAGUGUGUCUGCAAGUUUGUUGGCAGAUCUACUAAUGUUUUCAUGGACCUCAGAAGGUUGUUGAUAAGUUAACGCUGCAUGUUGUAAUUAUUAAUCGAUCUAACCUAAGGGGGUGUUCUUUUAAAAAACUUUUUUGGGCUAUAAAGUGAUUUUCGGCUCAAUAGAGCGUUUGGCAACUCAUUUUUAAAAUCUGAUUCUGCUUUUUAGAAUCAGAAAAUUAAUUUUGAAGGCCCCAGAAUCAGAAACAAAAAAAAGCUACUUCUUGAAAUCUGAUUCUGAUUUUAGAUUUAAACUUCAAAUUUUUAUUUUUAUUUUAUUUUCAAUAUUUAAAUUUAAUUUUGAUUUUAAAUUUUAAUUUUCAGAUUUAUUUUUGAAUUUUUAAAUUUUAACUUUUAAAUUUUAAAUUUGGAAAAAUAGAUUUCAAACUUUAAAUUUUAAAUUUUAAUUUUAAAUUUCAAAUUCAAAUUUUAAAUUUCAAAUUUAAAUUUUAAAAUUUUAAAUUUCAAAUUUCAAAUUUCUUUUAGAUUUCAAACUUCAAAUUUUAAAUUUAAAUUUCAAAUUUCAAAUUUCAAAUUUCAAUUUUCAAUUUUUAAAUUUCUUUUAGAUUUUAAAAUUUAAAAUUUUUAAAUUUUAAAUUAUAAAUUUUAAUCUUCAAAUUAUAAAUUAAAAUUUAAAAUUUAAAAUUUUAAAAUAUAGAUUUUAAAUAUUCAAAAUUUAAAUUUUAAAUUUUAAAUAUUCAAAUUUUAAAUUUCAUAAUUAUUUUAAAUUUUAAAUUUUAAAUUUUAAUUUUAAAAUUUAAAUUUUGAAAUUUAAAAUUUAAAUAUAUUUUUAAAUAUUAAUAUUUUAUAUUUUAAAUUUCAUAAUUAUUUAUAUUUUUACAUUUAAAUUUUAAAUUUCAAAUUUUAAAUUUACAUUUUAAAUUUUAAAUUUUAAAUUCUAAAUUUAAAGUUUGAAAUUUUAAUUUUAAUUUAAAUUUUUAUAUAUUAAAAUUUUAUAUUUUAAAAUUCAUAAUUAUAUAUAUUUUUAAAUUUAAAUUUAUAUUUUUAAAUUUUAAAUUUCAUAAUUAUUUUAAAUUUUAAAUUUUUAAAAUUUUAAAUUAUUUUUUAAAUUAAAAUAUCAAAAUUUAAAUUUCGUACAAUUUUGAAAUUUAAAAAUUUUAAUUUUGAUUCAAAUUUAAAUUUACAUUUUAAAUUAUUUUAAAAUAAAAUUUAAUAAAAAUAUUAAUUUAUGCAAACAUCAAAAAAAAUUUACCAAACAACUUUUUAAAAUCACUUCAGAAAA
rnacentral:lncRNA from 1 species